UACGUAGGAGGCGAGCGUUAUCCGGAUUCACUGGGCGUAAAGCGCAUGUAGGCGGUUGUGUAAGUCCGAUGUUAAAGCCCCCGGCUCAACUGGGGAGGGUCAUUCGAUACUGAUCGACUCGAAGGCAGGAGAGGGUAGUGGAAUUCCCGGUGUAGUGGUGAAAUGCGUAGAUAUUCGCAAGAACACCAGUGGCGAAGGCGGCUCACUGGCCCGGUACUGACGCUGAGGCACGAAAGCGUGGGGAGCAAACAGG
rnacentral:rRNA from 1 species